rnacentral:rRNA from 1 species
UGAGUCAUCGAAUCUUUGAACGCACCUUGCGCCCCUUGGUCAUUCCGAGGGGCAUGCCUGUUUGAGUAUCAUGAACACUUCAACUCUCACGGUUCGCCGUGGUGAGCUUGGACUUUGGGGGUUUUGCUGGCCUUUGCGGUCGGCUCCUCUCAAACGGAUCAGCUUGCCAGCGUUUGGGGGCAUCGUAGGUGUGAUAACUAUCUACGCCUGCGGUCGUCUGCCAUGUAACCUUUGGUAACGGAGGUUCGCUGGGGCUUAUGAAAGCCCGAGGACGGCAUUUUGAACGUUCGAUCUCAAAUCAGGUAGGACUACCCGCUGAACUUAAGCAUAUCAAUAAGCGGA